rnacentral:rRNA from 1 species
CGCGCGAUACAGGGUGACAGCCCCGUACACAAAAAUGCACAUGCUGUGAGCUCGAUGAGUAGGGCGGGACACGUGGUAUCCUGUCUGAAUAUGGGGGGACCAUCCUCCAAGGCUAAAUACUCCUGACUGACCGAUAGUGAACCAGUACCGUGAGGGAAAGGCGAAAAGAACCCCGGCGAGGGGAGUGAAAAAGAACCUGAAACCGUGUACGUACAAGCAGUGGGAGCACAGAGCAAUCUGUGUGACUGCGUACCUUUUGUAUAAUGGGUCAGCGACUUAUAUUCUGUAGCAAGGUUAACCGAAUAGGGGAGCC